rnacentral:rRNA from 1 species
UACAGAGGGUGCGAGCGUUACUCGGAAUUACUGGGCGUAAAGCGCGCGUAGGCGGCUUUGCAAGUCGGGUGUGAAAUCCCCAGGCUUAACCUGGGAACUGCAUUCGAGACUGCAUUGCUAGAGUAUGGGAGAGGGAAGUGGAAUUUCCGGUGUAGCGGUGAAAUGCGUAGAUAUCGGAAGGAACAUCAGUGGCGAAAGCGACUUCCUGGACCAAUACUGACGCUCAUGUGCGAAAGCGUGGGUAGCAAACAGG